GAUGAACGCUAGCGGUGUGCCUAAUGCAUGCAAGUCGAACGGCAGCCUUGGAUUCGUCUGAGGUGAGAGUGGCGAACGGGUGAGUAACACGUUGGUGACCUACCCCAAAGAGGGGGACAACCAUUGGAAACGAUGGCUAAUACCCCGGAUGUAUUACUAUUUAGAAAGGUAAUACUAAAGCUCCGGCGCUUUGGGAGGGGCCUGCGGUCCAUCAGCUAGUUGGUAAGGUAAUGGCUUACCAAGGCAAAGACGAUAGGGGGCGUGAGAGCGUGACCCCCCACACUGGUACUGAGACACGGACCAGAUACCUGGCGGGUAGCAGCAGCAAGGAAUAUUGCGCAAUCGACGAAAGUCGGACGCAGCAACACCGCGUGAAGGAUGAAGGCCUUCGGGUCGUAAACUUCUUUCUGGGGGAAGAGAAAGGACGGUACCCCAGGAAUAAGUCUCGGCUAACUACGUG
rnacentral:rRNA from 1 species